rnacentral:rRNA from 1 species
CUGGGCCUACGGGAGGCAGCAGUGAGGAAUAUUGGUCAAUGGGAGAGAUCCUGAACCAGCCAAGCCGCGUGAGGGAAGACGGCCCUAUGGGUUGUAAACCUCUUUUGUCGGAGAACAAAACCCGGGACGUGUCCCGGACUGCGUGUAUCCGAAGAAAAAGCAUCGGCUAACUCCGUGCCAGCAGCCGCGGUAAUACGGAGGAUGCGAGCGUUAUCCGGAUUUAUUGGGGUUAAAGGGUGCGUAGGCGGUCCGUUAAGUUAGCGGUAAAAUUGCGGGGCUCAACCCCGGCGAGCCGUCGAAACUGG